GUCAUAGAGGAGAUUUGUUUCUGAUAACGAUGGUGGUCGAAGCGGGAGAGGAAAACACUUUCAAAUGACAAUUCUGGAGAAGAUGGGCCUGCAGGGGAAAGUCACCCCCUUGCAGGCCAGAAGACAUGAGAUAACUUUAAAGAAUACAAAGAUUGCAAGUAUCCAGGCUCAGGAGAGGGGGUCAGUGGGAAGCCCACUGCUGCUACUUGGCCCUGGUUUGCCCUCAUGGAUGAGGUGAUAGGACAGAUGCCUUCCA